GAUGAACGCUAGCGGCAGGCUUAAUACAUGCAAGUCGAACGGUAAGUGUAGUAGCGAAUAUUAUACGAGAGUGACGUACGGGUGCGUAACACGUAUGCAACCUACCUUGUACAGGAGGAUAGCUCGGGGAAACUCGAAUUAACCCUCCAUGAGAUCACAGUGUGGCAUCACAUAGUGAUUAAAACUCAGGUGGUACAAGAUGGGCAUGCGUCU
rnacentral:rRNA from 1 species